UUUUUUUUUUUUUUUGACAAAAGAACUUAAUAUAUUUUAAUAUCAGCUCUGAGAGGUAGAUGGAGAGUCUACUUUUACUCACAAAGGUAACUUUGCGGACACUGAGACUUUUUCCAGGUAAGAACCUGGCCACAGGGAAAUGCAUCUGUAGAGGACACAGUAGAGAUGCCUUUGGAUUUCGGAUACUAUAUCCUUGUGCCCACGCCUGGCUUCUGAGUGUUUUACUUUCUAAUAGGAGCACCUGCAGCUCCCUUCUGGGGAUAUCCCCUGGCUGCUGAAGCUGCUCUGCCAGUACCCACAGAGUACCCUUGUUGCCUGCAAGCAUGUACCCCUGGCUGCCCUUGAGCCAAUGACUGAUUGAUGUGGAGUCAAUCAGUCAUUAGCCAGGGUAGCCCAGCCCGUGUUUACAGACAGGUGGAACUCUGAGGCUCCCCAUGGGAUCAGGCAGAGGCUAGGACUUGCUUGGCUUUCUUUCCUUCCCUGUCCUGCUUCCCUACUCCCUUACUGGUUCUUCCUGGGAGCACAUUCCUAAGAAACCAGGGAUUCAAUAGGUUUAAUAGCCCAGGAAUCCUAAUGUCAGGAUCUGCUUCUAGGACUCCCCCAUGAGACACUAUCCUACUAGACCAUAGGCUGGCAAACUAUAGCCUGUGGGCCAAAUCUGGCCCUCCACUUGUUUUUAUAAAUAAAGUUUUAUUGGAACUCAGCCAUGCUUAAUCAUUUACGAAUCACCUAUGGCUGCUUUUGUGAUGCAAUGGCAGAGUUGAAUAUUUGUUAUAGACAUUGUAUGGCCUACAAAGCCUCAGACAUUUACUAUCUGGCCUUUUGACAAAACAGGUUUGCAAACCCCUGGACUAGAUAAUGCUUUAAAUACACCAAGCUUUUUCUGACCUCAAGAACUUUGCAUAUGCUGUUCCUUCUGCCUGGAGCCCUCAUUCUUUGACUCAGUGGAUGCCUGGCUGCUUCUCAUUUUUCAGUUCUCAGCAAAAAUGUCACUUUCUCAGAAAGGACUUUUCUGACCACUCAUCUAAAGUAGCCUUCCAUUUCCCUAUGUUUUGGCUCUGCAUUCUUACAACUAACAGCACUGAAAUUAUUCUCUUUGAUUAAAUUGUUUGCUCCAUGAUAGCAACUAGCACACAAACUUCAUGAGACCAGAGGCUUUCUUUGUCUUGCUCAUUUCUGGAUACAAGCCUGGCAUGGUACCUAAAGGGUUCACUUUUAAGAAUACUCGCUGACUGGCCGGGCGCAGUGGCUCAUGCCUGUAAUCCCAGCACUUUGGGAGGCUGAGAGGGCGGAUCAUGAGGUCAGGAGAUCGAGACCAUCCUGGUUAACACAGGGAAACCCUAUCUUUACGAAAAAGACAAAAAAUUAGCUGGGUGUGGUGGUGUGCACCUCUAGUCCCAGCUACUCGGGAGGCUGAGGCUGGAGAAUUGCUUGAACCCAGAAGGCAGAGGUUGCAGUGAGCUGAGAUCGCAUCACUGCACUCCAGCCUGGACAAUAGCUAGACUCCAUCUCAAACAAAACAACAACAACAACCAAAAAAACAAUUUGUUGACUAAAUGAUGAGAAGAAUGAAAAAUACCUAAGUGGUUGCAUUCAUACCAAUUGGGUCUACAAAACCAGGACUUAGCACAGCUAGCCCCAUGUAGGUGGUGCCAGGUCACUGAUCCCCCUCAUUUUUAAAUCCUUACUCCCAACGCAAUGGAAACAUAUUUCAUACUCAAGCCACAUUAGUGCCCGGACAUUUACUACCUCUGGUAUUAAUUUGCUUGUUUUGCCACAUUAUUUCAUGGGAGGUCAUUUUAUGCUAUAAGCUGUAAUUUUUGAAUUUUAUGACAUAAAUGGACCUGCUUUGGGAACCAGGCUAUAAAAAGGAUUACUAGUGAGGAGGUCAAGAAAAAGUUACGUGGCGGCGUUAAUGGUUUUAAUUAAUGCAUUAAUUUUAUACAGUUUUUGUUGAGGCCUUCAUAUGCCUGAGAUCUUCCCGGAGCUUCCUGAUAAGGAAGGAAAGGUACAUUCACACACAUACACAUCUCCUGUGUGCAAUCCUUUCCUACACACACAGCACAGUCAUCUUCAAAAAUGCCAAUUGGGUCAUGGUCUUUCCCUGUUUAAAGCCUCCCAAUGUAUUUAGAGUAAUCUGAACUCAUUACCAUGGCCUGCACAAUGGAGUCUGUCACCUUGAGCUCACAGCAUUCCAGGGACACUGGCUUUCUUUCUGUUCUCCCCAACAAGCCCAGCUCUUACUUGCCUCAGGGCCUUUGCACUUGCUGUCCCUGUCUGAAAUCCUCUUCUUCUCAUUUGUGGUUCUCUCAGCCCUUCAUAUGUCAGAAGCUGCCCUUCAAAGGAGACUUCCUGGAGCCCCAAAGUAAAUUAGCACCACUGCUACCCAGGCCCUUAAUGCUCUAUUCUCUUCAUGGGAUCCUAAAUGGCCUUAUUUGUUUUUUGAUUUCUUAUCUAUUUCCUCCAACAAGAAUAUAAGAUCUGUGAAGGAAGGGACGACGUCAUUUUGUUUAUUGCUGUAUUCUUGGAGCCUAGCACGGUGCUAGAUACGAGAAAAUACAUAAACGACAUGAUAUCAGAUAGUUGUAAUUUUAUGAAGGAAAUGAAAUAGGGUGAUGAGAAAGAGAAAACAGUGAGAGCUGAAUUGCUUUGGAUCAGGGGUUGGUGAACUGUUGCCUGUGGGCCUAAUCCAGUCUGCCAUCUGCUUUUGUAGGGCCAACAAAGUAAGAAUAGUUUUUAUAUUUUUAAAUGGUUGAAAAAUCAGAAGAAGAAUGAUGC
ensembl:lncRNA